rnacentral:tRNA from 1 species
CCCUGCGUAGCUCAACGGUAGAGCGUCCGGCUGUAGACCGGAAGGUUGCAAGUUCAAAUCUCGCCGCAGGGA